CAUAUACUCCCUCUGUCCGGAAAUACUUGUCGGAGAAAUGGAUAAAAAUGGAUGUAUCUAGAACUAAAAUACGCCUAGAUACAUCCAUUUCUCCGACAAGUAUUUCCGGACGGAGGGAGUAUGUA
rnacentral:pre_miRNA from 1 species